rnacentral:misc_RNA from 1 species
AAGUCGUAACAAGGUUUCCGUAGGUGAACCUGCGGAAGGAUCAUUAUCACGUUAUUCCAACGUACUCAAAACGCGUUAUGUUUUCCAUUAACUCCCGCCCGCCUACAUGAUCGGCUACGUGCUAACUGAGGGUAUGAGAUGGGUUUAGUCGAGAGGCUAUCCGAACUCAGACACGGACAUUACGAUGUAGUAGGUAUCCGGCUAGCUGCGAAUGAGUAGACCAGUCUGUCUCAUGGACAAAAGUUUGCGGCACAUCUUUUAAUUAACAAUUUUCACCCAAUUUUUGCUAGUUGACAUUAUCUUGCUCGUACUCUCUCUUCAUUGAGAGGUGCAGCACGUUUAUUUAAUUAAACGUUAAAAUCAAUACAACUCUUAGCAAUGGAUAUCUUGGUUCUC